rnacentral:sRNA from 1 species
ACGCCUCCACUUAACUGGCGCCGCCGCGGCAGCUCGAGUCCACCAGCAGCGCCGUCCGCUUGACCGAGAUGCUGCGGGCCUGUCAGUUAUCGGGUGUGACCGCCGCCGCCCAGAGUUGUCUCUGUGGGAAGUUUGUCCUCCGUCCAUUGCGACCAUGCCGCAGAUACUCUACUUCAGGCAGCUCUGGGUUGACUACUGGCAAAAUUGCUGGAGCUGGCCUUUUGUUUGUUGGUGGAGGUAUUGGUGGCACUAUCCUAUAUGCCAAAUGGGAUUCCCAUUUCCGGGAAAGUGUAGAGAAAACCAUACCUUACUCAGACAAACUCUUCGAGAUGGUUCUUGGUCCUGCAGCUUAUAAUGUUCCAUUGCCAAAGAAAUCGAUUCAGUCGGGUCCACUAAAAAUCUCUAGUGUAUCAGAAGUAAUGAAAGAAUCUAAACAGCCUGCCUCACAACUCCAAAAACAAAAGGGAGAUACUCCAGCUUCAGCAACAGGUACUUAUGUUUUGAACCAUCUUUUUAAAAUUAUAGGUAAAUCUCUUCACCAAUUCUUUUUUUUUUUUUUUUUGAGAUGGAGUUUCGCUCUUGUUGCCUAGGCUGGAGUGCAGUGGCACAAUCUCGGCUCACCGCAGCCUCCACCU